rnacentral:lncRNA from 1 species
CGUGGAUCGAAGUUAAAUGAACAACGAUGUCAACUUAUGUGCCUUGAGUAAAUCUCGUCUGUUGUCAUCGAGCUUUAGCGAUGUUUUUCUGCAUCGGAAUAAUUUAUCAGUGACUUUUUCAUAGAAAAUUCGUCUGCAAAAUACUUAUAUUUGUGAAGACUAUUUACUUUUUUUUAUGAAGAUGGCAGCUAAAAUCAACGACGAAACAGACAACGAAAAACAUUUUUCUAAAUUCAGGUAACAAAAACUCUUGAUCAUGUUUAUUUAUUUUGUAAAGUACCACGUAUUGAAGUAGCAAUUUUAAUGUACCGACUACCGUACAACUGAACUGUCUUAGUCAGUGUGACGUCCUAAUGCUAUUUAUUUACCCCAACAGAUUGAUAUAUGACAUAUAUAGUGUAUAGUGCUGUUGUUAUUGUUUUGGAUCAAAUACCUGUUAAUUAGUCUUUAGUCUUUAGUAAGUGUCCCAAAUGACACUGUAAACACUUGUGUACAUUUCCUCUUUUGUAGUUUCUUCACAUAUGUAAUGUUCACUCAUGUACUUAUAGACUUUUAGAAAUAAAUUAAGGGGAUAGAUGGACCCCCCUUUUUUCUACAGAGCUCUAUUUUUCUAUAUAGCUGCACAAGGACAUAUAUAUAUGUUAGUUAUACGUCCUUGAGCUGCAUAAUGAUAUUCCAGAUACUUGUUGAAAUGCAUUGUAUUAUACCUAUUAUAAUUACCAUAAUAUUGACAUUAGUAAGGUAAUUCAUUGUAAUUGGAAAGGUCAAUAACAUUUAUGAUGUUGAUCAUUUGGCCAGUCCAGUUAUCUUUUAGACAAUAAUAAGUUGUUAAUAAUCAAAUUUGUAAUAACUGCACCUGUGCUUUCUCAAUAAUGAUUUUAAAAUGUGGUGUACUACAAUGUACUUUUGGAACAAUCUAUAUCUCAAUUCUCUGCAUUAAAUUAAAAUUCAUGACAAUUUUUUCCCCCAUCGUAAUUUCAUCUAUCUACCAUGUCUAAUUGGUAUUUGAAGAAGGGUUAAUAGAAAAAUAUCUAUAGGGAUUAUACAUGUAUUUGUAGACAGUGAAAAUCAAGGUAGGAUAACCCCCUGCUUUCCUGAUAUUCAUGUAUUCAUGAAUAAAGUAGAAUAUUCAUGAAUAUUCAUGAAUAUUCCACUUCCAUUCAUGGUUACUAUUCCAGUGUCAAAAUUAUUCAUGAAUAUGAAACAUGAAUUAAGUGGAAUAUACAUGAAUUCUUAAUAACUGUUUGGAGACAACAAAUAAAUGUUCUUAAAAUGCUAGUCACUUACUAUAUCAUAGUAUAAUCAAGUUUCCUUCAUUCAAAAUUGUUUUUUUUGUGGUAAUAAAACCCUUUUUGUCAAUAUGAAUAAACAUGAAUAAGAAUGAAUGUUUGGACUUAGAUUUUUUUUGCAUACAUUUCAUGAAUAAGAAUGAAUAAUGAGGAAUAAAUUUUGGACUUAGAAUAUUUUUCCAUUGUGUGACAAACAUGAAUAAGCAUGAAUAAAGCUGCAUGAUAAUGACUCAGAAUUAUUUGUGGCAAACGGCAUAAAAAUUGAUAAUGAAAUUUGUUCUAGGACUUUUGUAUGUAUAUUUUUACUUGAUUGUUGAUGCUGAAUAACAUACAUGUACAUGUAUGUAUUCCACAGUUAAAUGAAAAAAAUAUAUGAUAAUUUUAAUAGAUAGCUCAUGUAGGUGAUAUUCAUAACAUCUUCAUACAAAACAUGUAAGGUAUUUUAAAUUUAAUUUUAUUAAUAACCAUGAUCAUAAAAUAUAAACAUUGUAAAUUUUUUUUCUUUUCACAUGAAUAAUCUUGAAUUAACUUGAAUGUUUGGACUUUUUCAUUAAUAAUCAUAUCAUGGCCUUAUUACAGCCAUUCUCUUAGAAACUUUAUAAAAAUAUAUAUUAAAAUUUUCUAAACAUCCAGCAAUUUAUGAUAAUGUGUGUAAAGUUAAUAAGAUUAAAAAAAAAACAUAAUUUUUAACACUCUAACCCUCAUGAACCAUAAUUUCUGAAUAUUAGCUGAAUGUGGCUGAAAUUUUCUGAAUUUUGGCUGAAAUGUGUCUUAGAACAAAUCAGGUGUCUGAAUCCUGUCUGACCUGUUUAUUGAUGGUGUCUGAAUAUUGUCUUAUAGUUCUGAAUUUUGUCUGAAUACUUCUUAUUUAGUCAGAAAAAGUUUCAGACAUAUUCAGAACUUCUGAAUACUGUCUUAUUUGUCUGAAUUAUUAAGAAACAGCAGUAAGAUCAAUUCAGAAACCAAAAAUUAAUUAAAUACACCCCUAAAUAUCUGAAUAUUGUCUGAAUUAUUCUUAAUCAUUCAGAUAUUAUGUCAGACAAAAUUCAGAAAAUUGGAAAUAAGUAAAUUCUAAUAUAUAGAUCUGAAUAUUGUCUGAAUUUUUAAAAAUCAUUCAGAAGUUAUGUCAGACAAAAGUCAGAAAACUGGAAAUAAGUAAAUUAUAAUCUCAUAGAAAUGAAUAUUGUCUGAAGUUUUCUAAAUCAUUCAGAAGUUAGACAAAAUUCAGAAAACUAGAAAUAAGUCAUAGAUCUGAAUUACACUGAGUUAUUUAAUUUUAACACAUAAAUGGAAACAUAAAAAAUAAUUCUUCAAAAGUCUGAAUGUUAUGUGAAUAAGUUUCACCAACAAAACUACAUAAAAUAAAAUAUUUUGAAAAUGUACAAAUAACAGCAAGAAUUAAUUUCCCUGAUUACAAAAAUUUUGAAAUCCUUCAUCUGGCUCAUCAACAUAAAAGUGCAAGAAUCUUACAGUGUUUCCCCAAGGCAAUAUAGCUACUGACCUUAUUUUUGAGGUGGGAUAGGAGGGGUCCUAAUCCCGAAAUCCCGGACUUAAAAAACGAAAUCCCAUAAUCCCGACGUCCCGAAAUCCCAAAAAAAGAAUUCCCUAAUCCCGAAAGAGUGAAUCCCGAAAUCCUGAGCUUAAAAACACCCGAUCCCGGGGUAAUAAUAAUCCCCCCUAUUUUUCAUCUAACAUUUUGGGAUGACCGUGAAUGCAGUUACAGUCAUCAGUUUAAACCCAUUGAUAUAUAACUAUGAAAUACUUUGGAAAACCAAGUGUACAUAAUAAAAAAACUCAUGAGUAGUUUGAUCAUUUAGUGAUGAAAAACUGAACAAACACUUGUUCACUUUAAAAUAUUGUGUUUUUUGAAAUUGCUUUAUUAUCAUUAAGAUAUUGGAUAUACUGGUGCAUGGGCAUUAAUUUUGGUAGAAAAGGUACUUAUAUUAAAUUCUAACAGUUAUUAUCAGUACAAUUUAUUUGUACCUAGUCCAAAUAAUUAUGACGUUUUGAAAGGCUAUUUAAUUUUAGCUUUGACACCUUUUGCAGCAAGGUGCAAAGCCGACAAUAAAAUAACCAUUCAGUGGGGAAAUGUUUUUAAUGCAACACCAGGAAUUCAUGUUUCUUAUACAUUAAAACUUCUCUAAAUACAGUUCUCCCACCAUACCGGCUAAAUCAAGGAGACCCGUACAUUAAAUGGUCAUUUAACCUUACAAAACUGGCCAUAUGAUUCCUUUCAAUCGGAUACUACGCAAGUGUCAUUUUUGUAUUUGAAUAAUUAAAAUCAUAAUAAUUCAACCUCAUAAAACGGGCCUUGUCAUCUUAAUAUCACUGAUUAGUAAUAACAUUGUUAUGUAUCAUAAAGACAGUAAACUGUGAGUACUGUUCAGCUUGUCAAUUUAUUUUCAUUAUCCCAAUGUUUUACAAAUAGUGAUUACCGGCAAUUUCCAGUGUUACAUUGUUUACAAAUUUCAUAUAAUUAUUAGGGAAAAAUCGUUAGUGUAUGGUGUUUUUUAUUUUUUAUUCCUGCAAAAUAAAAAAAAUAAAUAAGAUGAAAUACAAGUUGUAGCAGUAUUUUACAAUAGAAAUUAUUCACAAAACUAAAAUUCACAAAGGAAAACGUAUAUUUGAAUAAGAUCAAAUACAUUUUUAAAUAUUUCUCAAACACCCAUAUUAAGGGGAAGUUACUCUUCGAAAUUUUAAAUUUCAACUAACCAGCAAACCCUGCAAAUCGGCCGUAAUUUGUGACCUGACCGGCGGCAUGUUUUGAGAAGUUUCACUGAAACACCGUUACGGGGACGAAUCAAUUUCGGGCCGAUAUGAUAUGGGGCGAGAUUGACACCUUGACUGAAACGCACUGGCAUACGUCAUCAAAGAUUACGCUGGAUAAACAAAAUGGAGAAUCCAAACGCAAAUGUUUUCAGAUAAGUAUUUUGAUUUAACAUAUGAUAAUUGUAAUUAUUAUAAAAGACAAUUGGUUGAAGGCACUAUUAUAAAACAUUUAGGAUUUAAAUCUGAGAAAACAUCAGAAAAUUUUGGCAGACAAUUAAUGUAAUGAAUAUAUAUAUUGUUCAAAAUUUGUUGUCACAUUCAUAAAACAAAUAGUAACUAGGUUAAUCUGCAGUCAAUAACUUAAAAAAUGCACUACCACUUUCUACAUUAAAUGUAGAAAUUAAAUUGGGUGAACAAACUUAGUGAAAACUAUAAGUCACCAAUUUUAUCUUCAAGGGAUAAAAAGGGGGGGGUUUUUAAUUUGAGUUUAGGCUUCCAAUGUAAGAUACAGUACAAAUGCAUAAUGCAAUAAUGUUUCUAUUGAAUUUAUUGCUUCAUAACCUCAAGAACAAUUGAUUCUUUGUGGAUAUUUUUUGUACUUUUAGGGGAUUAAAUAUGAGCUGCCAGCAAUGAUAUGAAACAGAUUUUAUGCAGACUCCAUUUUAAUACCUUUAUUCAGCAAUUCAAGUUUGAAGUACAGAGACAGCAAGUUUUAAAUUACAGAAAGGAAGAGAAGUUUAUAUCUGACACAUAAUUUUUAUAUUAGUUAAUCAGUUUGUGAGUGAGGUUUAAGCUGACCAUAGUUACUUGUUUUUAUUCUUUAUGCAAACCAUGCAGGCCAUUUUUUUCAUGGAUAGGAUGUUAAGAAUGUUAUUUAUUUAAAUAUUUGAAAUAUAUUCAGAUCAAUCUAUGAUCAAAGCACUCACUAUAUUUUGUGUUUCUUAGAAAAAGUGAUAAACCUUGGGCUUAAUUGGAAGAUCAAAUCAGUUACAAUGGGGUUUUGAUUCCAUUUCAUGCUAUCUUAUUAUGGCUGAAUAUGUCUUAAUAAGGCUGAAGAUUGGAUGAAUUUGUCUGAAUAGUUCUUAAUAUGGUUGAAUAUUUCUGAAUAUAUAUAUGAAUAUUUCUGAAUAUAUAUGAAUAUUUCUUAAUGUCUGAAUAUUUCUUAAUAUAUGUCUGAAUAUUUCUUAAUAUGUCUGAAUAUUUCUUAGUAUGGCUGAAGAUUGGAAGAAUGUUGGCUGAAGAUUUCUGAAUAUUGCUGAAUAUGUCUUAAAAAAUGGCUGAAUAUUUCUUAAUACAGCAUCAUUUAAACCAUAAAUUUUCUGAAUAUUUCUUAGUUUCUGAAUAUUUCUGUUUCUGAAUACUGGCUGAAUAGUCCGAAAUCCAGUCAAUAUUCAGAAAUAGACACAAAUACAACAUUCAGACCUAUUCAGACGAUUAUUCAGAUAGAAUUCAGAAAUAAUUCAGACAAUAUUCAGCCACCAAUUUUCCAGCACCUCAAAAAGGAAGUUAUCAUUGCCCAACAUUAUCCUAUAUUCCUAAUUUAUAUAGUUUUUAUACAAUACAAAUCAUUUAACAAUAUUUAUUACUUUUAACCACACAGUUCUUCCUUUUAUUAAUUCAGAUCUGGUUGUGUGCAUUUAUCAGAUUGUCCCCUGCUGAGUUCACAUCUGGAAUUAACUUCCUUUAGUUCAGUCUCUGAAUGGGGCCACAUACAGGAAAAUCUGCAUAUACUUCUUUUUAAUAAUGAAAUAAUGUUUUAUGAUAUACUUUUAUAUUAAAUUAAUAUAAACCUUGAAAACUGCCAGUAUGUUUCAUAAAUUAUAAACAUUAAAUAUUUUUGACCUGUUCAUUUAUUUAACAUUUAUGCAUGACUUACAAAAUGUAAGAACUUAUCCCUACAAUGCCCCAACUGACCACUGGGAAGUAAAAUACACACAUGGUAGCUACAAGAUUCAAAUAAUUUGUUGGUGCUUUUUAGAAAAAGAUUGUGUUUAAUCAUGUUAUUGUCAGAGGCAGAGUUUAUAAAAUUAGCCAGUGAUAGAAAAAGUUUGCAUUUAAGGAAAAUGGCUUAGACAUUAUUGUUUUCUUGGAAAAUGUCCAAGAUUAUGAACACCAAAAACAACUGUUAUUUUUAAUGGAGUACUCUCAGGAUGAAGAUUCUACAGAAUUUAUGUGUGUUGUUCAAGUUAGAUGGAAAAACUAUGUACAGUUGUUACUACAUUUUGUUAUCAUAUGGUAAGUUGUUGGUUUUUUUUUUCUUGUUUUGAAAUAAUUUUUAGAUAUUAUAGAUUUCUAUUAUUUAAGAGGACUGAGCUUUUUAAGCAAGUUGCAACUUUUAUCGAUAUAAACCGAUCAAAGAUCUUAGUUAUUUAUGGGAAAAACUUCUAAAUGAGCACUGGGACUUUAUUGCUUAAAUUAAAUAUUAGUUUAUACAUAUUUAAUUAUAAUGACUUUUAAGAUGUCAAUUUUUUGUAUAAAAUGAAAUUUGUUGUGGUUUAAAGUUUUUUAAGUCCAUAACGGUCAAUAUUAUAUAAAACGAUUAAUGUGUUUAAUCCAUAAUGCAUGGCAAUUAAAGCACCAAUAUUGACAAAAAAAAAUAUACUAAUAUUUGCAUUGAUUUUUUUAAUGACAUUCUGAUAAGAAUGAUCUCAUUUGUUUUUUCCCCACAGAUCUUUGAUAUAAGUUAGCUCAUUAUCAUGUCAAAUGUACAAUGUAUGCUUAUCAUUAACUUUUAACACGUUUAAAUUACCCACCUGCCCAUUAAAGUCUACAUUUAAGGUUUCAAUUUGUGUUAAAAUCAUGAAUUUUUAUAAUUUUAUCUGUAAAGUCACUUUUAUUGAUCUACAUGAAUUUUAGGUAAUUGAUCCAAUAGCCACCCAUUUAUAGUAUGGAUCCCAAUUCCAACCUUAUCAAGCAAUACGGGAUGCAUGGUUGCAUGGGUGUUUUUACUAUUACAAAAAAAAUGUGAUACAUACAUGUACUACAAACGGGUGGAUAUUGGAUCAAUACAGUGGCGGAUCCAGAACUUUUCAUAAGGAGGGGGCACUCCAGUCAUGCUUCAGUGAUUCCCUAUAUGAUCAACCAAAUUUUUCCCACGAAAGGGGGGACCCAGGCCCCACCUGCAACCCCCCACCCCCCACUUGAUCGGCCUAUGCAAUAUAUCUGGUAAAUCAUGUUGGUACUGAAGCAGUAAUAAUACUCUUAAAUGUGUAGUUAAGAACAAGAUAUUUUGAAACAAACAAUGUAAUUAAACAUGUUAAAAAAUCUUAAUAUUCUACUUAAUUAUGUUUAUUUUUAUCACAGGAUUAAACAGAAUAUCCAAAACUGGCCUCCUAAGUUAAAACCUUUGCUGAUUCUGAAAAGAGAAUUGAGAAGCUAGAGGAAGAAGUUAAAAAAAUGAAGAAAAAAUUUCAUUCCACGAAAACCAUAAGCCAGAAAUCGUAGAGGAUGAUUUUUUUCUUUACAAUACAAAGAAUAGUUCAGAUGUCAAGAAAAUAAUAAGCAACAUAAGUGACUUUCAGUCACGUGUCAUAGAUGUUUUCCUGUUCAUUUUUGGAGAAAACUAGCGGGUUGAGCAUAGUAUGAAAGGAAGAAAAGCCAAUGCAAAGCACGAAGUCAAGCCAGCAUAAGAUAGGCCUACAUGUACAUAAGAACUUUUGACAAUAACAACUUUUAGAACAAUGACCAGAGAAUCGAGAAAAAGAUAUCAUUGCAAAAUUACUAAAUGUUCAAAAAGCUAUCAGACUAAAAAAAAUAUCUGCAAAUAAGUAAAAAUUAUGUAUGAUUAUCACUUUGCUCCAUUAGAUUUGCCUGUCUUUAGUUUAAAAAUAGAUCUGAAAACACAUAGAUUAAGGAAGGGUUUGGAUUAAAUCCUAGAUCAAAUAGUGUACAAUUUUGCUAGAUCUUAAUGAAAGUGAUUGUAAAUUCAUAUUUCACAGCUAUCAUGAUUAAAAAAUAUUUUAAACUUAAAUGUCUGUAUUUGCUUUUGGUUUUCAAAAAAACUCUCAAGGACACUUAUUUCAAUAUUCAUGGUUAAUCUAGAAUAUUCAACCAUUCAAUAUUCAUGGUUAUUCUAGAUUAUUCAACCAUUCAAAUGACAAUAUUCAUGGUUAUUCUAGAAUAUUCAACCAUUCAAUAUUCAUGGUUAUUCUAGAAUAUUCAACCAUUCAAUAUUCAUGAAAUAUUCACAUUCAAGGUUAUUCUAGAAGUAUGUAUUUAGCAUUCAAUAUUGGGAUAGAUAUAUAUUUUUCAUUCAUGGUGAUUCUAGAAUAUUCUAUCAUGCAUUAUUCAAAGACAUCCUAUUUCAUAUUCAUGAAUAUUCUAUAGAUAAUUAUUCAUGUUAAUUCUUGGUUAUUCAGUUCAUACAAUAUUCAUGUAUAUUCAAGCUUAUUCAGUUCAAACAAUAUUCAUGUAUAUUCAAGGUGCCAUUUAACAUUCAUGAAUAUUCAUGAAUAUUCAUGAACUGUUACCUUGAAUAUUCAUGAACAUUCAUGAAUAUUAUUCAUGAAUAUUCAUGAAUUGUUCAUGAAUAUUCAUGAAUAAUUCAAGGUCAGGAAAGCAGGGCUGUGGUCCUGGACCUAAACAUAGGCCAUAUACAAGUUAUCGAUAAAAAAAAUAAAUAGAAAAUGCAAUUUCUUUUAAGUCUUUUGAAUAUUACAUUGUAUCUUUAAGUUAGUAUUUAACUCCAUGAUUGUAAAACAAACUUAGACCAAAGUAAGAAGAACUGUUGUUUCCUUAACUACAUGAUGGUGAUAGAUUUUAACAACCGAACAGCAAGCUAUAAAGGGCCCCAAAAAAUUACUAGUGUAAAAGUAAAACCAUUCAAACGGGAAAACCAACAGUCUAAUCUACAUUAAAAAAUGAGAAACGAGAAACACUUUAUAUGUAACUCUAUAUCAUUGAUGAAUCAUUGGAGGAUAUUCAUUCAUAUAUUGUAUUUCCUAUCAAUAAACAAACACAUAGUAUACCCAUGAUACCUUGUAUUGAUCUAAUUAUAAAAACUUUCAUAUAUUGAUUCCUGAUAAUAUAAACUGAUGUGGCAUGCUGUUACGACUUUACUCUAAUUACUGUACUUUUUCAAGUCACUCUAAAAGGCAUAAUUGAAAUUUACUUGAUUAGCAAACCUAGUUUAAUGUAUAAUAAUAUUCCCCAUUUCAAUUCUCAAUUUUACUUGUUAAAUGACUUUCUUGGCAACUUGGUAGUAAAAGUUUUAGUAUAAUUUAAUUAUAUCUAACUUAAUACCUUGUGUACUUCCAUGCCUUAAAUUAAAGUUUAUCAAUCUAUGGAAACAAAUCUUGUCCUGAAUAUGGUUGGAAUAAUUUGUUAUAGGGCAAUCAGAAGAACAGACCAUGGAAUUUCUUGUUUGAAUUAUUGAUGCUGCACAUCCAAUAAUCAUGGUAAUGAAUAUUAUACAUGCAUGUACUCUGAACAAAAUUUUGUUGAUUCCAUGGACUUUUUGGGACAUAAGUGUAGGUAAACCGAAAUUUAAAUGAUCAACAAAGCAUACAUUUUCUUUAGGCUUGCAAGAAGACUGGGAUUGUGAAACAAUGAAACAAAUAUGUAUACAUGGAAAUACAAACUUUUUCUCAACCCAGGAAAAUAUAAUUAAUCCACGAGUCUUCAGAACAUGGUUGCUUUGUACUACAAUGUACUUUCUUUUAGAGUUUAAUAUGACGUUCAUUAUCACUGAACUAGUAUACAUUUUUUUAAGGGGCAGCUGAAGAACAUCUCUGGGUGCAGGACUUUCUCGCUGCAUUGAAGACCCAUUCAGGUGGCCUUCGUUUGUUGUCAGCUCUUAGGUUGGGUCUCUUAGACACAUUCCUCAUUUCCAUUCUCAAUUUUACAUCACAGAACACAAUAUGACUGAUUGUUAACGUGCUAACUUGUGCCACCAGCACACAUUAUUAUCUCUGAGCCAUGCUUUUGUUCUCAAAUGGGAUUCUGUGCCCUAGUUCAGUAGUCGCAAAGAUGAUUUAAAUGCCAAUUUUAAAAACCCCUAACCUCCCACACUUGGUGUUGUAUACUAUAUUUUAUUGGAAUGGAUUAUUAUUUAUAUUGCUAUAAGUUAUGCCAUGUUAUGAAUAUGAUCCUUGAUUAAAAUUCCCUUCACUCUGUAUUGUUGUAAGGAAGCUACCAUUUGAUUUUUAGGGGGGGCUAGGAUGAAAAAUUUUGUCCUGCAUUUUUUUUAGUUGUAAUCCCUGUCCUGCCUUUUUAUUUUUCACUCUAUUCAGUCCUGCCUUUUUUCUUUUAGUUUAUCCUGACUUUUUUUACCUAUAAAUUGUCAUCCUGACUUUUUUUUUUGCAAGUGUCUCAUCCUGCCUUUUUUUUUUACUCAAAACUCCUGUCCUGCCUAUUUUUUCAAAUUUCAUCCUAGCCCCCCCCCCCCCCCCCCCCCCCCCCCCCCAUAAAAAUCAAAUGGUAGCUCCCUAAUAUUGAUCAUAGGAACAUUUUGAAGGAAGAAAAAAAUUGGAAAUUUUCUAGUUUUAUAUUUUAACAUCUGUAAACAAGUGAGACAAGAAUUUAGCAUAUAAGCAACAACAAUAACUCCAAGGUAAAUAAAAAAAGGGGGGGGGGGAGUUUACAAAACCUGACAAUUUCAAAUCAAUGGAACAAAUAUAUACCAGAUAACAAGUGUCAUAUUUCUGACUUGAUUUAAAAAAAAAUGGGUUUUAACCUGGGUUUAUAGAAAUCUUGUUUAAUAACAUAUUUGUCUAUAGUUCUUCAUCUUACAUGUAUAUAUGUUGUACAAGUAAGUUUUAAAAAUCCUUUACUAAUAACAUUAUACACAGAUUUUCGUUAGUUUCCAUGAUUUUUGUUUACCACUUGACUAAAUAUCAUGCACCAUCACUACCCUCUUUAUGGUCAAGGCUAAUGUGUGCCAUUACUUCAUCAUUUCUUCAGUUUAAUUAUAGACUUAUAUUAUGUCCUUAAUGAAUAACAUUCAUGACAGUAGUGACAGUACCAUGAUUACAUCUAAAGACUUCUUAUCUACAAAUUGAUAUUUGUAUGGGUAACCUGGGUAAUAUAAUGGGCGAAGACAUUAGGUAAUACAUGGUUAUAUAAUUGAGAAUGAAAAUGGGGAAUUUGUGUCAAAGGGACAUCAACCUGACCAAAUAGCAGAAAACAGCCGUCUUCAAUACAGCAAGAAAUUCCAGUGGUUCAACCCCCCCCCCCCUUUUUUCAUUUGACAUUCAAUACAUUUGAAUCUGGACAAAUAAUUGGAACACCACCCCAUCCUGCCUGCUUAAUCCUCGGUUUGAAAUCCCCUUUGAUAAAUAGGUGGAUCUGUCUCUGGAAAUGAGGUUUGGAUGUGUUUAUUGAUAUACAUUAUCGUAAGGGAGCUACCAUUUGAUUUUUAUGGGGGGGCUAGGAUGAAAAAUUUUGUCCUGCAUUUUUAUUUAGUUGUAAUCUCUGUCCUGCCUUUUUAUUUUUCACUCUAUUCGGUCCUGCCUUUUUUUUUAUUAGUUUAUCCUGACUUUUUUACCUAAAUUGUCAUCAUUUUUUGCAAAGUGUCUCAUCCUGCCUUUUUUUUUACUCAAAACUCCUGUCCUGCCUAUUUUUUUCAAAUUUCAUCCUUAAGCCCCCCCAUAAAAAUCAAAUGGUAGCUCCCUAAGAUGGGAAAUAACAAUCCUCAUGUUCUUGUGGAAUAAGUCUUAUCAUGUGUUUAGGUCUAAUUCUUAUUUGUAGUAAAAUCAUUAUUUGACCAUGAACCUAAUCUUAAGAUACAUGUAUUCUAAAUAUAACUGAAUUGUUCAUGACUUACGAUCUAACAAUUUUAGUCGUAAGAUCUUUCGUGGAUGAAAGGUCUGUUUUGUGUAUUUAACAUUGUUUUCAUAAUAAGUCAUUCAAAUUGUUACAAACUAUAUUUGGUGAAUUAUAUAUGUAAACACUGAUGGUCAUUCAAUAAUGUCCAGUAAACGGUCAAAAGGAAAUUUCUAUUUAAUGUUUUUAAAUGGGUUAACUGUACAUACAAAUUCAUAUUAUAUUUAAAUAAACAUAAAUAAUUUUGACCAGGACAACAGAAAAGAAAUUUUUAAAUAGGUUAGAGCAUUUAAAAAUAAAAAUAUUUUUUUUGUCAUUGUUAGUACAAAGUUCAAAUUUUGAUGUUAAAAUAAUUACAAGAAGUUUAUGUCAGUGUUUUAUAAUAAUAGGAAAAAGAAUAUAUAGUUUGGGUUUAAAUCUUUAUCCAGUGCAUUGCACCAGAUAAUGACACUCUUAUUUACUGUUUAUUGGUCAUAAAGUACUGAAUGACAUAAUAUAUGUUUUGUUGAAACAGUUAAUACUUAUCGCAGUGAAAAUGGAAAAAAAAUUGAAAAUUGUCAAAUUGCAUCAGUCAUCACCUGCAGGUCUUUCUUUAGGAGUCUUGCCACGAUGUAGCCUUUUUGUGCUGAUGACGCAGAAAGGAAUCACUAAUCAAUCAACAUUUCAGUAGUCAAUUGACAUCUAAAGACUUUUGAAUUCGUCAGAGCAUUUAUUUAUAAAAAAAAAAUUUAAAAAAUAAAAUUUGUCAUUGUUUGUUCAAAUUUUGAUGUUAGGCCAAAUAAAAAUAUAUGUGUGGUUCCAGUAACACGGCCGACCCUAGAACUUUUUUUUCAUUUCGGAAAAAUAAAUUUUCAAACGAUCAAAUUUUGAAGAUUGUAAAUUAAAAAAAUAAAAUUCGUAGAUUUCUGUCAUCUGAAUUUCUAUCAGAAGUAUCUGUUAUUGAUAAAAUGCAAGAAUUCAUAGCAACUUGUUGUCAAAAUGCAACAAAAUUAACUAAAAAGGUAAAUGACUGUCUUUAUUUUGCCACAAAACACUUUUAAAAUGGCUGACUUCCGGUAUUGAUGUGUAUAAUACCGGAAAUAUUUCGGUAAACACGAUUUUUUUCCGGAUUUUGACAAUCCAAAAUAAAAUUUAGAAAAAAAAAAAAAAAUUUGCUGACCUACCGACCCUAUUUUUUAAAAGUACACAUGUAUAUGGAACCACACAUAUAUUUUUAUUUGGCCUUAAUAAAAUAAUUACAAGAAAUUUAUAAAUUAAUGUGUUUCAUGAUAGGGAAAAGAAUAUAGUUUUUGGUUUAAAUCAUUAGUGCAUUGAACCAGGUCUCUGAACCUGAAUCCUUCUGAUGGAAACUAUAUAUAUCCUAUACCCCAAUGUCAAUGAAUGUUGACAUUGUUUUAGUCUGAAACAAACUGAUUAGACCUCAAUACUUAUGAUUGAAACUAUAUAUCUGGUAAUUGAUUGUUUUAAGUUCGUACAAGAGUUCUAAAUAGUAUCUCAUUAAUCUAAAGAGUCAUUUGACGUCACAAUUUAUUUACAAACAGAUACUGUGAUUGAUCUGAAGAUUGGAAAUGAUUUUCCCUCGUAGAAAUAUUAUCUAGCCCACAUGGAUUAAAAAGAUUUAUAGAUUUACAACACUGUUAGAUGUACUUGCUUAUUAGGAUUGACUGUAUAUAUUUUUUUACCCAAUUUUUUUUUGUGUUGACUUGAAUUGAAACUUGAUGAAUAUAAAAAUCUGAAUUAUUUGAAGUGUUUCAGUAGAUUAUAGGAAGUAUAAGGGCUGAUUAUAUAACUUUUUUUUACCAAUUUUUUGUUGUGUUGACUUGAAUUGAAACUGGAUGAAUAAAAUCUGACUUAUUUGAAGUGUUUCAGUAGAUAGGAAGUGUUUGUAUUGAUUGAAAAUAUGGUCAGUUUUUCCUGGUAUCUAAUGUUUACAUGUCAGCAUUAGAUACAAGGAUUGAUGGAUUUAUAAGAAGAUUAGAGAAGGAGUAUAACAAUGUUUAUUAUCAACUAUAUAAAGAAACCUAGGUUUAAUGUCUUUGACCUUAUAUAACCAUAUAUAAGUUUGAUAUUGCUUAUUUAAAUAAGGAAGAAUUUACAAAUGUAGUAAUUUGAACACACAACCUUCUGGCUUCGUCUUGGUUAAAAUAUCAAAAGGAGUCUGAAAGAUUUAAUAUAACAAAUUAUAUAUUUGGUAAUUGCUGUCAGCAUCUAACUCAUCGAUUAUGUCCUUAGCAAAAGUUACUAGAAAUUAAGAAUUACUAUAGUCUAAAUUGAUAUUCUUGUUUUAAAAGUAUUACACACAUUUGUACAUAUAUCAGCUAGGACUCUUCAUGAAGUGGUGUACCUUUUUAUAAGGAAUAAUGAUCAUUAACCCUAUUUUACGAAAUUUUCCUUUAAUCUUACUGACACAGUAGAGCAUGGUAUCUUGUCAAUGAAAUUAACAACGGGUUGUCAUACUGUGAAAUAGCGACAAACAGAUAAUCAUUGACCAUCUCAACUCAAUUGCUUUUCUCACUUUUGCAAUACUGGCUCAAGCAAGAAUCUGUUGAAUUUUCUGGAGAUGACCAACGAUAAUCUUUAAGUACCGGGUACAUGUAGGCAAAUGACAAUAAUCAAAGAGAUUUUUUUUUGUUUUUCAGAACAAAGCUUCCCGUACCAAUGUUUGAUAGAAAUGAUUUCAGUAUAUGGAGUAUACUUAAGCAAUGUAUAGGGAAGG